rfam:Schistosoma curassoni strain Dakar, Senegal genome assembly, scaffold: SCTD_contig0011835
GUCCAGCUGACGAGUACCAAACAGGACGAAACGCGCGUCAAACUGGGU